UACGUAGGGUGCAAGCGUUAAUCGGAAUUACUGGGCGUAAAGCGUGCGCAGGCGGUUUUGUAAGCCAGAUGUGAAAUCCCCGGGCUCAACCUGGGAAUGGCAUUUGGGACUGCAAGGCUUGAGUGCGGCAGAGGAGACUGGAAUUCCUGGUGUAGCAGUGAAAUGCGUAGAUAUCAGGAGGAAUACCGAUGGCGAAGGCAGGUCUCUGGGCUGACACUGACGCUCAUGCACGAAAGCGUGGGGAGCAAACAGG
rnacentral:rRNA from 1 species